ACCUUGCACAAAUCAUAGGCAAGGUGAGCCUUAGGCAACACAACUUGUCGAUCCGACCAAGGAAAGGCGCAUGUUUUAUCAAGCUAGAUAAAGAACAUGUGGCAGCCUCCCAAGCAAUGUCCACAGUCCCACAUCAAAAUCUCACUCAAGGUGCACACCUCCCAAGAUCUAUAAAAAGGGGUGCAAGUCUCCAAAAUGAGAUCUUCCUCAUAUGCCAAAGAGCCCAAGGUGACGCAACAUCCUUAAGUUUGGCCCAAAAGUGCUCGACUAUUUUUGUGCAUCAACAUAUAUGAUUGAUGUAGUCUUCUUAGCUUAGUUCAAAAAUUCUUUGUGCAAGAUAUUUGUCCUUUGUUAAAAAUGAAUUGA